rnacentral:rRNA from 1 species
UAGUAACGGCGAAGUGAAGCGGCAACAGCUCAAAUUUGAAAUCUGGCUUCGGCCCGAGUUGUAAUUUGCAGAGGAAGCUUUAGGCGCGGCACCUUCUGAGUCCCCUGGAACGGGGCGCCAUAGAGGGUGAGAGCCCCGUAUAGUUGGAUGCCUAGCCUGUGUAAAGCUCCUUCGACGAGUCGAGUAGUUUGGGAAUGCUGCUCAAAAUGGGAGGUAAAUUUCUUCUAAAGCUAAAUACCGGCCAGAGACCGAUAGCGCACAAGUAGAGUGAUCGAAAGAUGAAAAGCACUUUGAAAAGAGGGUUAAAUAGCACGUGAAAUUGUUGAAAGGGAAGCGCUUGUGACCAGACUUGCGCCGGGCGGAUCAUCCGGUGUUCUCACCGGUGCACUCCGCCCGGCUCAGGCCAGCAUCGGUUCUCGCGGGGGGAUAAAGGUCCUGGGAACGUAGCUCCUCCGGGAGUGUUAUAGCCCGGGGCGUAAUGCCCUCGCGGGGACCGAGGUUCGCGCAUCUGCAAGGAUGCUGGCGUAAUGGUCAUCAGCGACCCGUCUUGAAACACGGACCAAGGAGUCAAGGUUUUGCGCGAGUGUUUGGGUGUAAAACCCGCACGCGUAAUGAAAGUGAACGUAGGUGAGAGCUUCGGCGCAUCAUCGACCGAUCCUGAUGUUUUCGGAUGGAUUUGAGUAGGAGCGUUAAGCCUUGGACCCGAAAGAUGGUGAACUAUGCUUGGAUAGGGUGAAGCCAGAGGAAACUCUGGUGGAAGGCUCGCAGCGGUUCUGACGUGCAAAUCGAAUCGUCAAAUCUGAGCAUGGGGCGAAAGACUAAUCGAACCAUCUAGUAGCUGGCUACGC